rnacentral:tRNA from 2 species
GCGCGAGUGGUGGAAUUGGUAGACACGCUAGCCUUAGGAGCUAGUGCCUUCGGGCGUGGAGGUUCAAGUCCUCUCUCGCGUACCA